CCCUCCUCUCUUCCCUGAUCUCCCCUCUCUGCCUUCCCUGUUCUCUCUUGCGGACAAAGCAAAGCCGACGUCUCCGGUGACUGUCGACCUCGACGGAAACCAGUGGAGUCGCCGGAGCUUGCUGGAGCACAACGGGAACCAGCAGAGUCUAGACUGUCUUGGCCGAGAGAUCUCUGUUUCGGGAGUUCUUGCGCCGAUUGUCAACGGCAAGUGGCAGCGGCGAUCGUUGGUGUCGCAUGAGGAGGAAGCCGCCGGAGCUCAGAUCCGGCUGACGCCUUUCGUCUCCGGGCUGCAGACCUCGCAUUGCGUCUCCUCACGACCUCGCCUCACUGCCAUCACCCGAUCGCCGGCGCAGAUCGGGGCUCGGAGCACCGAGGUGAGGAGCUAGCUUCGAUUCUUCUUCUCUCGACCCUUGCGGACCCGUGCCCUAGAUCGUCAGGAGCUGGGAGUGUGCGUCGCCGACAGAGGUCUUCGAUCAAGAAGGGAAAGCCUAACCCUAGCCUUGACCCUUCCUCUUCAUCGUCGGCUUAGAUCUACUGUUUUGGGUUCUAGCUUCCAUUCUACACGCGUGAGGAAAGAUUUCGGCAAGGUUGAGUGCAGUGGUGUUCUUUGAUCCAGUAACAGUAUCUUGUGUGGAUCAACAAAAGGGAGGGCUGAGCUUGAGGACUCUGAUUUGAGACGGACGUCUCGACUUCGGAUUUGGAUUGUACCUUCUAUUUGAGGCG